GAACAAGGUUUCCCGUAGGUGAACCUGCGGAAGGAUCAUUA
rnacentral:rRNA from 1 species